rnacentral:misc_RNA from 1 species
GAUGAAGAACGCAGCGAAAUGCGAUAAGUAAUGUGAAUUGCAGAAUUCAGUGAAUCAUCGAGUCUUUGAACGCACAUUGCGCCCCCUGGUAUUCCGGGGGGCAUGCCUGUCCGAGCGUCAAUGCCGCCCUCAAGCACGGCUUGUGUGUUGGGCCCCCGCCCCCCGGCUUCGGGGGGCGGGCCCGAAAGGCAGCGGCGGCACCGCGUCCGGUCCUCGAGCGUAUGGGGCUUCGUCACCCGCUCUGUAGGCCCGGCCGGCGCCCGCCGGCGACCCCAAUCAAUCUUUCCAGGUUGACCUCGGAUCAGGUAGGGAUACCCGCUGAACUUAAGCAUAUCAAUAAGCGGAGGA